UCCCUGAUGGUCCAGAGGUUAGGACUCGGCACUUUCACUGUUGUGGUCUGGGUUCAGUUCCUUGUUGGGAAA
rfam:Ovis aries breed Texel chromosome 6, whole genome shotgun sequence.